CACAAGGAGUGACAUAAGAGAAAAUGCUGUAAAAUCACCAAAAAACUACUUAGUUUGAUUAUGCUGUAUAGAUGGAUUCCUCCCAGUGCCCCCAUGUGUCGAUUACUCCAGGUCUCAGCGUUCCUAUGUAUCAGUGUCUCAGUGCCCCAUGUCUCCCAGUGUCCCCUAGUGUCGUGUCCCCAGGUCUCCCAGUGACCCUAUGUAUCACAGUGUCC